CACAUGUGACGUAGUUUGAUCAUGGCUCAGAACGAACGCUGGCGGCAUGCCUAACACAUGCAAGUCGAACGAGACCCCUGACUUCGGUUGGCGGGUCUAGUGGCGCACGGGUGCGUAACGCGUGGGAAUCUGCCCUUGGGUUCGGAAUAACUCAGAGAAAUUUGAGCUAAUACCGGAUGAUGACGAAAGUCCAAAGAUUUAUCGCCCAGGGAUGAGCCCGCGUAAGAUUAGCUUGUUGGUGGGGUAAUGGCCUACCAAGGCGACGAUCUUUAGCUGGUCUGAGAGGAUGAUCAGCCACACUGGGACUGAGACACGGCCCAGACUCCUACGGGAGGCAGCAGUGGGGAAUAUUGGACAAUGGGCGCAAGCCUGAUCCAGCAAUGCCGCGUGAGUGAUGAAGGCCUUAGGGUUGUAAAGCUCUUUUACCAGGGAUGAUAAUGACAGUACCUGGAGAAUAAGCUCCGGCUAACUCCGUG
rnacentral:rRNA from 1 species